rnacentral:rRNA from 1 species
CGCGGCCUAUCAGCUUGUUGGUGGGGUAAUGGCCUACCAAGGCGACGACGGGUAGCCGGCCUGAGAGGGUGACCGGCCACACUGGGACUGAGAUACGGCCCAGACUCCUACGGGAGGCAGCAGUGGGGAAUAUUGCACAAUGGGCGCAAGCCUGAUGCAGCGACGCCGCGUGAGGGAUGACGGCCUUCGGGUUGUAAACCUCUUUCAGCACAGACGAAGCGCAAGUGACGGUAUGUGCAGAAGAAGGACCGGCCAACUACGUGCCAGCAGCCGCGGUAAUACGUAGGGUCCGAGCGUUGUCCGGAAUUACUGGGCGUAAAGAGCUCGUAGGUGGUUUGUCGCGUUGUUCGUGAAAACUCACAGCUUAACUGUGGGCGUGCGGGCGAUACGGGCAGACUUGAGUACUGCAGGGGAGACUGGAAUUCCUGGUGUAGCGGUGGAAUGCGCAGAUAUCAGGAGGAACACCGGUGGCGAAGGCGGGUCUCUGGGCAGUAACUGACGCUGAGGAGCGAAAGCGUGGGGAGCGAACAGGAUUAGAUACCCUGGUAGUCCACGCCGUAAACGGUGGGUACUAGGUGUGGGUUUCCUUCCUUGGGGUCCGUGCCGUAGCUAACGCAUUAAGUACCCCGCCUGGGGAGUACGG